rnacentral:rRNA from 1 species
AUUGAACGCUGGCGGCAUGCUUUACACAUGCAAGUCGAACGGCAGCACGGGGGCAACCCUGGUGGCGAGUGGCGAACGGGUGAGUAAUGCAUCGGAACGUGCCCUGUCGUGGGGGAUAACACAUCGAAAGAUGUGCUAAUACCGCAUACGACCUGAGGGUGAAAGCGGGGGACCGUAAGGCCUCGCGCGAUAGGAGCGGCCGAUGUCUGAUUAGCUAGUUGGUGGGGUAAAGGCCUACCAAGGCGACGAUCAGUAGCUGGUCUGAGAGGACGACCAGCCACACUGGGACUGGGACACGGCCCAGACUCCUACGGGAGGCAGCAGUGGGGAAUUUUGGACAAUGGGGGCAACCCUGAUCCAGCCAUGCCGCGUGCGGGAAGAAGGCCUUCGGGUUGUAAACCGCUUUUGGCAGGAACGAAACGGUGCGGGCGAAUACCCUGUGCUAAUGACGGUACCUGCAGAAUAAGCACCGGCUAACUACGUGCCAGCCGCCGCAGUAACAC